UCCAAUUCAAACCUCCAGGCAUCCCACUCUCGAAAUACCCUGACCGGACCCACUUCUCUAUCCUAGCGAAUUAAACUCAUCAGUGAAGAGAGACCCAAAAGCAGUAGUUAGCACGUCCUCAAACGCUAAACCCAGAAACAACGUCUUAAUAAUCAGUCAAACGACAAUGGCGAUGGAGCGCAACGAUAGUGACGAUUCCAACGGUGUCCGCAAUUGUGCCUCACUCGUGUCAAUUUACACGGCGAGUUCACGCCUAACGCGAAACUUGUACGUCCUUCUUAAUCCUGUACGAUCUCAUAACUUUCUUCCGUGUUUCUAGAUUUCGUUUCCCUGCAAAAGUUGCGUCAACCGUCCUUGACUCGCGUGGAUGGGCACCACGUUGAGUGCAAGGACGAAUAGGUUGAUCAAGGUCGCCCGCGUCUCUUUCACCUUUAUGGAUAUGGAUGGAAGUCCGGAUUUCUUUGUACAAGUCCAGCUUUUUCCGUCCGUGGAAACAAAUUUGAAUUUGAAAUAGGUUGGGGGAUUCUCGAUUUUGUCCUUGCCCCCACCUGAAAUUCUUCAUCCCCCCCAAACGAACCCUAAUUUUCCCCCUAUAAAUACUUCCUUUCUUUUAAUUUGUAGGUGGGAGAAAAAUUGUUGGAAUUUUUAGUGUGAGAAUUUUGAGUUGGAAAAUUCGAACUGAUAAAGAUAAUAGGUUAGGCAAUUAGUCAUAAAAAAUACAUACGAGAUACUCUCUUGAAAGAGAGGAGGUUUGUGUUUAAUCUAUCGUGUUCGAAGUCGUGUUUAGGUGGUUAGAGUUGUGCUCGUCCCUGCUCGUCAGGUCCCUUUCGCUGCACAACAAGAGGUAAUUUCUUCCUUCAUCUAUGUUUCACUGGUUUGUUCCUUUAUUAGACUCUCGUUCUUUUGGGUUUAGUUGUAAUUAGUUAUUUGCUCACUGAUUUGUUUAGUUUUGUGCAACUUAGAUAUUUCUUGGGGUUGAUAGUUCAUUUGUGCAAUGUGAUUGUAUUUUAACGUUGAUUAUGCCUAUAUAAAUGGGAUAAUAAGAGAGGUUGUAUUCCUUGUUCAUUAAAUGUGACAACUCUAUUUUCAUGCCGUUUGUUCUAGUAAAAGACUGAUUGUGUGUGUGUCGUUAAACCCGUCCCAACAUGAGGUUUUGUCUAUUUCUAGUUCUCUGUUCGCCUUAGUCUAUGUGUUUUUGUCUUACUUUAUUAAUAUCGUCUUGGUGAAUUUGUCCAUGAGAAGCUUUUCAUUUCCAUUUCUAGUAUUGCAUAAGUAAUUUUUGUUAUUCUGCUUAACUGUUUGAGGGCAUCAACAAGUGUUCAUCUUUAGCUCAUAAUUGGAGUUCACUGUUGAUCAAAAUAGAAAGGUUAUUUAUGUAUAUUAUUUUGUGGCGAUGAAUUAAGUGUUUGAUCACUACGGUUUGUUUUUUCCUGUAUUUUCAGUUAUGAAGUUAAGUCACAUUGGUUCAUGUGAUGAGAAGCAUGCUUUGGCUCAUUAAUUAUCUACUGCUUAAUGUUGUAUUUGCCCCCCUUUAAUGCUCAUUCUUGCCUUAUUGCUAUUUUUAUGAUUGAUUUUUUCCAAAUUAUGUAGUUGCUAGUUGUUUAUGGUCUAGUCGUUAUAUUUUUUUUCUUGGAAACUUUAAGUAAGAUAUUGAAUUAUUUAUUAUUGGGGUUUUAAAUCUGUGUAAUUUUGAUUAUAGCUUUUAGCAGUCUAGAGUCUUUGAAAAAAAUAUUUGUGUCAAUUUAAGGCCUUUUCAUGAUCUGCUUAGUUUUAUUAUGGCAUCCAAAACUGAAGUAUAGUAGUGUAUAAGUUCAAUUUACUUGACACUUUCUAGUAUUAAAUUAUGAUCUGUUACUUACUGUAUUAUUCUUUUUUUGCAUGUAAAAUUUGUACGGGUCUUAUGAACUCCACCAUCGCAUUUUUUCUUGGGCCAUGGAGUCCCAACUUAUUUCUUUCAUCAAGUCAGUCAACCAAAAUCAACGAACAGGUUUUAGAGUCAAAAGAGCAUGAAUCAAAUCAAAGAAAUUAAAAGAUUGGGCCAAAGUAUAGGACAAGUGGAAGGUGGGCUUAAGGCUCAAAGAAAUCAAGCUCGAAAGACUAGUCUAGGACAUGUGCUAAAAUUUGGGCCUUUGGACCCAAAACUGAAAGUAGGCCCAAGUCUUGGCCCAGGCGGACAGAUCUGAACUUGGUCUCAUAUCUUCUUUUCCUAUCUCAUUUAUUUGUUAUUAUGCGUUUAUUUAAUUUUAAGAUUCCGAAAA